GUGGGGAAUUUUGGACAAUGGGCGCAAGCCUGAUCCAGCAAUGCCGCGUGCAGGAAGAAGGCCUUCGGGUUGUAAACUGCUUUUGUACGGAACGAAACGGUCCGGGUUAAUACCCUGGGCUAAUGACGGUACCGUAAGAAUAAGCACCGGCUAACUACGUGCCAGCAGCCGCGGUAAUACGUAGGGUGCAAGCGUUAAUCGGAAUUACUGGGCGUAAAGCGUGCGCAGGCGGUUUUGUAAGACAGGCGUGAAAUCACCGGGCUCAACCUGGGAAUUGCGCUUGUGACUGCAAGGCUGGAGUGCGGCAGAGGGGGAUGGAAUUCCGCGUGUAGCAGUGAAAUGCGUAGAUAUGCGGAGGAACACCGAUGGCGAAGGCAAUCCCCUGGGCCUGCACUGACGCUCAUGCACGAAAGCGUGGGGAGCAAACAGGAUUAGAAACCCGGGUAGUCC
rnacentral:rRNA from 1 species